CGUUUAUCUCGUUUAACAGACUCUAAAAACAGACGAAGAAGUUAUUUGUUUCAAUAUAUGCAACGUAAACCACAAUUUUAUACAAGGGAAUAAUAUUUACUUGCGAUGGUUUAAUGACUUCAAUAGCUCCGAUGUUUCCAUACCUCUUUUCAUUCCAAUUGCACUAGAAACUUUUUUCUUCGAAUCAUUUACCUACAAAGAAACGUACGAUUAGGCAGGAACAAUUUGCUUAGCGAUGCUGUCAGUCCCAUUGGGAUCAGAACCCAUGUGCCAUCUGACAAAACCUCCCAUAACGCUACGACAUGCUGAUCCAGAGCCAAUACGAGCAAUCGAACUGAUAUCACCC